rnacentral:lncRNA from 1 species
CAAACACUCGGUUAUAUCUGCAGACUCUCAGCAGGUGUGAGAGAGAGAAUGAAAAGACCGGACACCAGAGAGAGAGAGUGACGAGCGGCCAAUCAGAUGAGAGGAUGUCUAAAUACAGGAAGGAGAGGGGCGGCGGUCGAACCCUGACAGAUGUGAGGAAGACGUAAGACUGUGUGAUAGAGAGAGAGAGAGAGAGAGAGAUGGACGGACGGAUGGAUGGAUGGACAGCGGAUGGACAGAUGGAUGGAUGGAUGGAUGGAUGGAUGGACAGCGGAUGGACAGAUGGAAGGAUGGAUAAAGUCUGAUUCAGUGGUAUAAGAUAAAACAGCUAAAAUGAGAUGAGGUCAGAUUAAAUGUGACUGAAUUGGAUUUAAAAGAUCAGAUUAGGUGAGAUUACUUUACAUCAGAUUAUAUUGAAUCAGAUUUGAUCAGAUUAGACUAUUUGGAUUAAAAUCAUUGAAUCAAAAUCAUAAAACUGGAUUAGUAUAUAUUUGAAUAAAUCUGUUUCAGUUGUAUUAAACUUGAUUUAAUGAUUAGAUUAGAUUAGAUAAAAUAAAAAAAAAUUCAGAUUAGAUUAAAUUACAUUAUGUAAAAUUACAAUAGAUAAUAUAAAAUAAAAUAAGAUUACAUUAGAUUUCAGGUUAAAUUAGAUUAGAUUAGAUUAAAUUACAUUACAUUUCAUAACAUUAGAUUAAUUAAAAUAUCAUAAGAUAAAAUAAGAUUACAUUCAAUUUCAGAUUAAAGUAAUUUAGAUUAGAUUAGAUUACAUUACAUUACUUUCUUAACAUCACAUUUCAUAAGAUUAGUUUAAGUUUUGGAUUAUAUUAGAUUAGAUUAGAUUAGGUCAGGUUAGAUUAGUCUAGAUUAGAUUAGAUCAGGUCAGGUUAGAUUAGAUUAGAUUAGAUUAGAUUUCGAUGCAGUGUGGUGAUGGUUUUUGGACAGAGACUGUCCAUGAGUCUGUCGGUGUGAACUUUGAUGGAUUUAUAGCUCUUCCUGGGAUUAGAGGGUUAAACAAGUUAUGGGAAAGGAGGAUGAGAUUGGUGCUUAAGGAUGCAGGAAGUCAUCUGUAGACAGCAGGAAGUGUUGCUGUCAUCUACAGGAGGCGGACAUGUAUUGAUAAUAUUCUGGGCUGUGUUUAUGACCCCCUGUAGGGCUUUCCUGUCCCCCACUGAGCUGUUUCCAAACCAAACCAGGAUCCAAAGAGUCAAUAUGCUUCCAGUGGAGCAGCAGUUUAAAGACACCAGCAGUUUGGACUUCCUGAGAGUUUUCAUGUCAACGAUCACAUGACAAACACACUCUUAUUUUACUAAAGCUGCGAGAUCUCCGCUCUCUGCUUCUGCUCACGUGCCGCACUCACAUUCUCAGCCUCAACAUCCACCUGCACGCUCAUACUAGAGGUUUAAGACAUUAUCUCAUCGCUCCACAACGUCUGCAUGAAAAAGAAAAACUGUGGUGAGGAUGGAGCCAAGUCUCGAAAACACAAACAAUGUUCUUCUUCUGCUGCUGCAAUAAACAGUCUAAAGCGUAAACAUGA